rnacentral:rRNA from 1 species
UAGGGAAUCUUCCGCAAUGGGCGAAAGCCUGACGGAGCAACGCCGCGUGAGUGAUGAAGGUCUUCGGAUCGUAAAACUCUGUUAUUAGGGAAGAACAAAAGUGUAAGUAACUAUGCACGUCUUGACGGUACCUAAUCAGAAAGCCACGGCUAACUACGUGCCAGCAGCCGCGGUAAUACGUAGGUGGCAAGCGUUAUCCGGAAUUAUUGGGCGUAAAGCGCGCGUAGGCGGUUUUUUAAGUCUGAUGUGAAAGCCCACGGCUCACCCGUGGAGGGUCAUUGGAACCUGGAAGACUUGGGUGCGGAAGAGGAAAGUGGAAUUCCAUGUGUAGCGGUGAAAUGCGCAGAAAUAUGGAGGAACACCAGUGGCGAAGGCGACUUUCUGGUCUGUAACUGACGCUGAUGUGCGAAAGCGGGGGGAUCAAACAGG